rnacentral:rRNA from 1 species
UGGGGAAUAUUGGACAAUGGGCGAAAGCCUGAUCCAGCCAUGCCGCGUGUGUGAAGAAGGUCUUCGGAUUGUAAAGCACUUUAAGUUGGGAGGAAGGGCAGUAAAUUAAUACUUUGCUGUUUUGACGUUACCGACAGAAUAAGCACCGGCUAACUCUGUGCCAGCAGCCGCGGUAAUACAGAGGGUGCAAGCGUUAAUCGGAAUUACUGGGCGUAAAGCGCGCGUAGGUGGUUUGUUAAGUUGGAUGUGAAAUCCCCGGGCUCAACCUGGGAACUGCAUUCAAAACUGACGAGCUAGAGUAUGGUAGAGGGUGGUGGAAUUUCCUGUGUAGCGGUGAAAUGCGUAGAUAUAGGAAGGAACACCAGUGGCGAAGGCGACCACCUGGACUGAUACUGACACCGAGGGGCGAAAGCGUGGGGAGCAAACA